AAAGCUAGCCCAACUACCCCACCCCACUAUAAAUAAAACAAAGCAUUUAACCACCAACUUAAAGUAUAGGAGAUAGAAAUCUGAGACCAUUUGGCGCAAUAGAGAUAGUACCGUAAGGGAAUGAUGAAAGAAGCAACAAAAGUAUCAAAAAGCAAAGAUCACACCUUGUACCUUUCGCAUAAUGAUUUAACUAGCAAAACCUUAGCAAAGAGAACUUAAGCUAAGCCACCCGAAACCAGACGAGCUACUUAUGAACAGUUUACCAGAACAAACUCAUCUAUGUGGCAAAAUAGUGAAAAGAUUUAUAAGUAGAGGUGAAAAGCCUAACGAGCCUGGUGAUAGCUGGUUGUCCAGAAAAAGAAUCUAAGUUCAAUUUCAAAAUUACCAAAAGCCCAAAUCAAGCCUAAUGUAAUUUUAAAAUUUAGUCUAAAAAGGUACAGCUUUUUAGACAAAGGAUACAACCUUGACUAGUGAGUAAAUUCAAACAACACCAUAGUUGGCCUAAAAGCAGCCACCAAUUAAGAUAGCGUUCAAGCUCGACAAUAAGCACAACCUAAUUCCCAUAUCAAGCAAACAACUCCUAGCCUAACUACUGGACUAUUCUAUUCAAACAUAGAAGCAAUACUGUUAAUAUGAGUAACAAGAAACAAUUCUCCCAGCACAAGCCUACGUCAGCAACUGAUAAUAUACUGACAGUUAACAACAAGUAAAUAUAACCUAACACUAAAACAUUUACCCCAUACACUGUUAACCCAACACAGGCGUGCACCCAAGGAAAGAUUAAAAAAAGCAAAAGGAACUCGGCAAA
rnacentral:rRNA from 1 species